rnacentral:rRNA from 1 species
GACGAACGCUGGCGGCGUGCUUAACACAUGCAAGUCGAACGGAAAGGCCCUGCUUUUGUGGGGUGCUCGAGUGGCGAACGGGUGAGUAACACGUGAGUAACCUGCCCUUGACUUUGGGAUAACUUCAGGAAACUGGGGCUAAUACCGGAUAGGAGCUCCUGCUGCAUGGUGGGGGUUGGAAAGUUUCGGCGGUUGGGGAUGGACUCGCGGCUUAUCAGCUUGUUGGUGGGGUAGUGGCUUACCAAGGCUUUGACGGGUAGCCGGCCUGAGAGGGUGACCGGCCACAUUGGGACUGAGAUACGGCCCAGACUCCUACGGGAGGCAGCAGUGGGGAAUAGUGCACAAUGGGCCGAAGCCUGAUGCAGCAACGCCGCGUGCGGGAUGACGGCCUUCGGGUUGUAAACCGCUUUCGCCUGUGACGAAGCGUGAGUGACGGUAAUGGGUAAAGAAGCACCGGCUAACUACGU